rnacentral:rRNA from 1 species
GACAGAGGAUGCAAGCGUUAUCCGGAAUCAUUGGGCGUAAAGAGCGUGUAGGCGGCUCAGUAAGUCCGCUGUGAAAGUCCAGGGCUCAACCCUGGAAUGCCAGUGGAAACUGUUGAGCUAGAGUCCGGAAGAGGCGAGUGGAAUUCCUGGUGUAGCGGUGAAAUGCGCAGAUAUCAGGAGGAACACCAAUGGCGAAGGCAGCUCGCUGGGACGGUACUGACGCUGAGACGCGAAAGCGUGGGGAGCAAACAGG